AUCCCAUGAUGAGGACACUGACGAAGUAACUCCUUGAAUCGCUCCAAAGCCUCAUACAAAGACUUGUCAUCUAGUUACUGGAAAGUUGUGAUCUCGUUCCUCACU
rfam:Gossypium raimondii chromosome 7, whole genome shotgun sequence.